rnacentral:rRNA from 1 species
CGGCGAGUGAAGCGGCAACAGCUCAAAUUUGAAAUCUGGCCCUCGGGUCCGAGUUGUAAUUUGUAGAGGAUGCUUUUGGCGCGGUGCCUUCCGAGUUCCCUGGAACGGGACGCCUUAGAGGGUGAGAGCCCCGUACGGUUGGACACCAAGCCUCUGUAAAGCUCCUUCGACGAGUCGAGUAGUUUGGGAAUGCUGCUCUAAAUGGGAGGUAAAUUUCUUCUAAAGCUAAAUAUUGGCCAGAGACCGAUAGCGCACAAGUAGAGUGAUCGAAAGAUGAAAAGCACUUUGAAAAGAGGGUUAAAUAGCACGUGAAAUUGUUGAAAGGGAAGCGUUUGCGACCAGACCUUUUCCUAGGGGAUCAUCCGGUGUUCUCACCGGUGCACUUCCCUAGGUUUAGGCCAGCAUCGGUUUCUGUAGGGGGAUAAAAGCUCUGGGAACGUAGCUCCCUCGGGAGUGUUAUAGCCCUCUGCAUAAUACCCUUACGGGGACCGAGGACCGCGCAAGGAUGCUGGCGUAAUGGUCGUCAACGACCCGUCUUGAAACACGGACCAAGGAGUCGAACAUUUGUGCGAGUGUUUGGGUGUUAAACCCUCACGCGUAAUGAAAGUGAACGGAGGUGAGAGCCCUUACGGGUGCAUCAUCGACCGAUCCUGAUGUCUUCGGAUGGAUUUGAGUAAGAGCAUAACUGUUCGGACCCGAAAGAUGGUGAACUAUGCGUGGAUAGGGUGAAGCCAGAGGAAACUCUGGUGGAGGCUCGCAGCGGUUCUGACGUGCAAAUCGAUCGUCAAAUCUGCGCAUGGGGGCGAAAG